UAGGCUUGAUCCUGGCUCAGAACGAACGCUGGCGGCAGGCUUAACACACAAGUCGAAGGUGAAGCGGGGCUUCGGUCCCGUGGAAACUGGCGCACCACGGGUGAGUAACGCGUGGGAAUCUACCCCGGGGUGGGGAAUAACCGCUGGAAACGGCGGCUAAUACCGCAUACGCCUUGAGAGGGAAAGCUUUAUGCGCCCUGGGAGGAGCCCGCGUCGGAUUAGGUUGUUGGUGGUAACGGCCUACCAAGCCUUCGAUCCGUAGCUGGUCUGAGAGGAUGAUCAGCCACACUGGGACUGAGACACGGCCCAGACUCCUACGGGAGGCAGCAGUGGGUAAUAUUGGACAAUGGGGGCAACCCUGAUCCAGCCAUGCCGCGUGCGUGAAGAAGGCCUUAGGGUUUGCUAAAGCGCUUUCGGCGGGGAAGAUGAUGACGGUACCCGCAGAAGAAGCCCCGGCUAACUCCGUGCCAGCAGCCGCGGUAAUACGGAGGGGGCUAGCGUUGUUCGGAAUUACUGGGCGUAAGGGGCGCGUAGGCGGACUGCCAAGUCAGGGGUGAAAGCCCUGGGCUCAACCCGGGAAUUGCCUUUGAAACUGGUAGUCUGGAGUCCGAGAGAGGAUGGCGGAAUUCCCAGUGUAGAGGUGAAAUUCGUAGAUAUUGGGAAGAACACCUGGCGAAGGCGGCCAUCUGGCUCGGAACUGACGCUGAGGCGCGAAAGUGUGGGGACGAGCAAACAGGAUUAGAUACCCUGGUAGUCCACGCCGUAAACGAUGUGUGCUAGCCGUUGGGAAACCUAGUUUCUCAGUGGCGCAGCUUUGCCAUUAAGCACACCGCGGGGAGUACGGUCGCAAGCAUG
rnacentral:rRNA from 1 species